AUGUUGGGUUAAGUCCCGCAACGAGCGCAACCCUUAAGCUUAGUUGCCAUCAUUAAGUUGGGCACUCUAAGUUGACUGCCGGUGACAAACCGGAGGAAGGUGGGGAUGACGUCAAAUCAUCAUGCCCCUUAUGAUUUGGGCUACACACGUGCUACAAUGGACAAUACAAAGGGCAGCGAAACCGCGAGGUCAAGCAAAUCCCAUAAAGUUGUUCUCAGUUCGGAUUGUAGUCUGCAACUCGACUAUAUGAAGCUGGAAUCGCUAGUAAUCGUAGAUCAGCAUGCUACGGUGAAUACGUUCCCGGGUCUUGUACACACCGCCCGUCACACCACGAGAGUUUGUAACACCCGAAGCCGGUGGAGUAACCAUUUGGAGCUAGCCGUCGAAGGUGGGACAAAUGAUUGGGGUGAAGUCGUAACAAGGUAGCCGUAUCGGAAGGUGCGGCUGGAUCACCUCCUUUCUAAGGA
rnacentral:rRNA from 1 species